CUUGGCAGCGGAGUUUGCCAGGGAGGAGUGUUCUGGAACGUCAGGUAGGAGGCGUACCCGAGUCGGCUACAUGGGUCAGCUUCGUUGUAUUGCUUGCGAGCUCAUGGAGCUUGGCAGACGAUGCCCAGUG
rnacentral:ribozyme from 1 species